rnacentral:tRNA from 1 species
GGGCGGUUAGCUCAGUUGGUUAGAGCACUGCUUUGACAUGGCAGGGGUCACAAGUUCAAAUCUUGUAUCGCCCA